GCGGGUGUAGCUCAGGGGUAGAGCACAACCUUGCCAAGGUUGGGGUCGAGGGUUCGAAUCCCUUCGCCCGCU
rfam:Microvirga aerilata strain BSC39 scf7180000028440, whole genome shotgun sequence.